UCCCAUUCCUCUCCUUCUGGUUACGAAGUUUCUUGCCUUUGCUACCUUCUAUCUCCUCUGUAUUUAUCUUGUAUGUACUGAUUUGUGUUUAUGAUAACUUUUUUUAAGAAUGUAAGCUCUCUAAGGCCAUAGAUUAUAUUUGCUUUUGCUUUCCACACCCAGCAUUUAUUAUAGUGCCUACCAUGUAGUAAGUAUUUGAUUCAUUCUUCUACUUAUUUCAGGUUUCUCAUGAACACUGAUGCUGCAUUCUUCAUGACUAGAUGAAGGUUUUUACAAGUAUUGGAUCAUGGUCUGGGAGUCACUGCAAGGGAAGGAGCAGAUACUCAGCUAAAAACAAUCAAACUACAAGCAACUUUCAAUCACCCAAGCAUAAAGCCAUGGAAUAAAGAACCGGAGGAAUCCCAUGUGAACUAGAACAACCUCCAGGAAGUGAUGCAGAGUGAGAGGAGCAGAACCAGGAGAACAUUG
rnacentral:lncRNA from 1 species